AGCCACUGGUGCCACACACACACAUGAAAACACUUGCGUAUGUGUUAAGCUUUAUGGGCAGGACUAAUCUGAUUGAAGACAGUACAACUAUUUGUGUCUCAGCCUGGGCACGUGUAAAUGUUCAUAAGGUUGGGGCCUUUGGCUCGUGUAUGUCUUGUUUCCCUCUAUGCUAGCGAUGAGAGUUUGGCUUUGGAAGCGACAUGUCCAUUUUACUGGAUGUUAAAGUAUUGUGGAGACUAAAGAGUGUAAUUAUAAACAUAGCUAUUACAAUGUUCCAGUCGAAACAGCCUCUUAUUUUGAGUGGUGGGAUUUCAAAUAGGUAGGCUUCAAAAUACUUUUGAAUGUGGUUGUAGCUUGUGUUAUAUACUACUUGAGAUUCAGUUGUAAUUUUUAGGUUAAUAGGUUAAUAAAGCCUGUCAGCUAGAAGUGUGAAAUCCCUGAUGUGGAGAUGGCUGUGACAAAAUUGGGUAGGGGGGUGCUUUGUCAUCUUAGCCUGUGUCGUUUGGGGUAGUGACCCAGUAGCAUGUUGCAGAAACUACAGCUUGGAC